CAUCUUCAGGUGACUUUCUGAGAUGCUAUUUCUGGCAAUUGUGGUGGUAAAUCCUUCAACAUUUGGAUCACUGAGUUCUUCGAUUUUCUUCCUUCUCUUCAGAAAUUGAAGUUGUAAAAUUGUUUGAGAAGUUUUAUCAGUUCCUGGAUGCAUUUGAAUAACACUAACCAGAGGACCAAGUAAACUAUAUAGUUUGGAUGCAUUUGAAAACUACAUAUAUAGUUUGAAACUACAUAUAUAUAGUUGAAAACUACGCUAGUCACAACACAAAGCGAUGGUCACUUGGAGUCAUGGAUCCAAUAUGCACACAGUUGUGGAAGAAAUGCAGAGACAAUUUAAUGUGUUUUCAAUGAAGAAUUGGCAGUUGUGGAAGGAAUACUGCAGGUCCUCUUCUACUCUCAAAG
rnacentral:lncRNA from 1 species